CUUAGAAAAAAUGUGCUCUUUCGAUCAAGCUUCAAAAACAGUGAGUUUUUCAUCACUAAACAACCCAAUUCGGAAUGGCACGUAAAUACAUGUACGUCCUUACAAAUAACAAAAUCUGUCGAUCUUACCGGGAAUGGUCACUCAAUCCAUAGGGCAGCGGCUACAUGUAAUAUUCUUGAAAGUACCUUUUGUAUGAAGCUGAAGGCAAGGUGUGCAUUGAAAAAUCUCGGAAAAUCCACUGUAUUAAUGUAUUAACACAGGAGACUAUUACUGUAAACUUGGAUAAUUGAUAGCGCAAAGGUUGGCUUCCCAGUUGAAGGACAAUAAUUCAAGCUCCACUUGUCGAGCAAAAAGCGUUCAAUUAUGGAAUAGCCGUACUGGCGGCAAAUAGAUAAAAAAGUAAUCAAUCGCGAGAGAUCAACGAUACAUCUCUCAGUUUAAGAAUUAAAAAAAAAAACAAGAGAAUAAGUUAUAUAAAGCAACGCACGGUAACAAAUAGGCAUAAGCUGCGGCUGUAAACUAUAUUGCUCAGAUUGUAAUCUUGUGAAUAUAUGUAUUAUAAAAAAAAAGAACAGAGUAAAUUACUAUUCGUGGGCACUCUAUGUUUGAGGUGAUUGAAUAAAUUAAAUUGAAAUUCACGGAAAAAACUCUUGAUGAAACUCAUAUUAGUUGUAACCUUUUUAUUUAAUACAAAACCAGUAAAAAAGUAAAAUUAUUUAGAGUAAACGAGCAAUUUAAGGCAUGCGCAAAGUUAGGCAUAUCAUGCGCAAAGUUAGGAACAAUUCAGAUUUUGUGCGCAAUGUUAGGCACAAGGUGUUGCAUCACCUUUCGCAUUUUUUUAAUUUUUUGCGAAUCAUUUUUUUUUUUAAAUCACGCUUUCUACUGAAGGGUUAAAAGCCUAUCGUUGGCAGAAGUUUGAAUAAAAAGAUACAUAUUUUAGCCUUAUUUGAAGCAAAAAUACGAUGAUAAUUUCUUAACUGCGCAAAGUUUGGUGCGUACACGG